CGUAGGUGGCAAGCGUUGUCCGGAAUUAUUGGGCGUAAAGCGCGCGCAGGCGGUCCUUUAAGUCUGAUGUGAAAGCCCACGGCUCAACCGUGGAGGGUCAUUGGAAACUGGGGGACUUGAGUGCAGGAGAGAAGAGUGGAAUUCCACGUGUAGCGGUGAAAUGCGUAGAGAUGUGGAGGAACACCAGUGGCGAAGGCGACUCUUUGGCCUGUAACUGACGCUGAGGCGCGAAAGCGUGGGGAGCAAACAGGAUUAGAUACCCUGGUAGUCCACGCCGUAAACGAUGAGUGCUAAGUGUUAGAGGGUUUCCGCCCUUUAGUGCUGCAGCAAACGCAUUAAGCACUCCGCCUGGGGAGUACGGCCGCAAGGCUG
rnacentral:rRNA from 1 species